CAAGCGUUGUUCGGAAUUACUGGGCGUAAAGGGUCUGUAGGUGGCUUGCUAAGUCAGACGUGAAAUCCCUCAGCUUAACUGGGGAACUGCGUCUGAUACUGGCGAGCUUGAGUGCAGGAGAGGAACGCGGAAUUCCAGGUGUAGCGGUGAAAUGCGUAGAUAUCUGGAGGAACACCGGUGGCGAAGGCGGCGUUCUGGACUGCAACUGACACUGAGAGACGAAAGCCAGGGGAGCAAACGGG
rnacentral:rRNA from 1 species